rnacentral:rRNA from 1 species
AUGAACGCUGGCGGCGUGCCUAAUACAUGCAAGUCGAGCGAACAGACGAGGAGCUUGCUCCUCUGACGUUAGCGGCGGACGGGUGAGUAACACGUGGAUAACCUACCUAUAAGACUGGGAUAACUUCGGGAAACCGGAGCUAAUACCGGAUAAUAUAUUGAACCGCAUGGUUCAAUAGUGAAAGACGGUUUUGCUGUCACUUAUAGAUGGAUCCGCGCCGCAUUAGCUAGUUGGUAAGGUAACGGCUUACCAAGGCAACGAUGCGUAGCCGACCUGAGAGGGUGAUCGGCCACCCUGGAACUGGGACACGGUCCAGACUCCUACGGGAGGCAGCAGUAGGGAAUCUUCCGCAAUGGGCGAAAGCCUGACGGAGCAACGCCGCGUGAGUGAUGAAGGUCUUCGGAUCGUAAAACUCUGUUAUUAGGGAAGAACAAAUGUGUAAGUAACUAUGCACGUCUUGACGGUACCUAAUCAGAAAGCCACGGCUAACUACGUG